ensembl:snRNA U2 U2 spliceosomal RNA
CUGGCUUCUCGGCCUUUUGGCUAAGAUCAAGUGUAGAACUUCUUUUUUUUAAAGUAAAACAAUAAGUACUUUUUGUUUCAAGGUGGACGUCUCAUCGUUGUAAGAUAGAAGCGGUGCACAAACCUAAGAUGGUAGCUGCACUUGCAAAGAAAUAAAUCUCACUAUUACUUCCUGAGCUUGCUUAUGUUUUGUUUUUAGAAGCAGAAGCACAUUACAU